AUGCCGCCUCGCGAUCUCUACGCACGUCUCCUCAACACCGAACAGCGGCUUGCUGCCCGUCGCUCCGUCGGCGUCUACACGGAGGGUCCCUCUGCGAACGCUGCUCUCCGCGGGGGUGCCCGUGGUGCCAAGCAGAAGGCGCCGCCGUCCACGGGCAACCAGCCCCGUCCGCCCGCUCCACCUCCUCCGACGGCUGGCCGCAAGCGGCUACACUGUGAGGCAUGUGGUGGUGGGGUUGAGUGUCAGCUUUGUGGCAUCGAGGGGCACUUGGCGUCUCGCUGUCAUCGUCGCUUUAAACGUGAUUUCCUUGGCAUUGGGAACAAUGGGAAGGGUAACGAGAAGCAAGCUGCUCUCGCCACACAGGAGCCUGGGUUCACUCCUUCGUACUCGGUGGACCCUGCAUGGUACAUGGACACAGGCGCCACGGACCAUUUGACGAGCCAGCUUGACAAGCUGGCCACUCGCCAGGCCUACACCGGUCAUGAUCAGGUCCGCACUGCCAAUGGAUCAGGUAUGCCCAUCUCACAUGUUGGUCAGGCAUCUCUUCUUUCGCGUACCACUAAAACCUUGCGUCUUCUUGAUGUCCUUCGUGUUCCUUCAGUCACACGUAGUUUACUCUCGGUUCCUAAAUUAACUCGUGACAACAAUGUGUUUGUUGAGUUUCACCCUUUUCCAUUUUUUUGUUAA
rnacentral:rRNA from 1 species